CCCGCCAUAGUUUAUGUAAAACAUCGACCUGCAAAGUCGAGGAAGGAAGAUUUCCUGGUGUGU
rnacentral:tRNA from 1 species